AGAGCGAACGCUGGCGGCAGGCUUAACACAUGCAAGUCGAGCGGGCGUAGCAAUACGUCAGCGGCAGACGGGUGAGUAACGCGUGGGAACGUACCUUUUGGUUCGGAACAACCCAGGGAAACUUGGGCUAAUACCGGAUAAGCCCUUACGGGGAAAGAUUUAUCGCCGAAAGAUCGGCCCGCGUCUGAUUAGCUAGUUGGUGAGGUAAUGGCUCACCAAGGCGACGAUCAGUAGCUGGUCUGAGAGGAUGAUCAGCCACAUUGGGACUGAGACACGGCCCAAACUCCUACGGGAGGCAGCAGUGGGGAAUAUUGGACAAUGGGCGCAAGCCUGAUCCAGCCAUGCCGCGUGAGUGAUGAAGGCCCUAGGGUUGUAAAGCUCUUUUGUGCGGGAAGAUAAUGACGGUACCGCAAGAAUAAGCCCGGCUAACUUCGUGCCAGCAGCCGC
rnacentral:rRNA from 1 species